rnacentral:rRNA from 1 species
GGCUUAGGAUGAACGCUAGCGGCAGGCUUAACACAUGCAAGUCGAGGGGCAUCGGGAGUAGCAAUACUGCCGGCGACCGGCGCAAGGGUGCGUAACGCGUGAGCAACAUGCCCGUAUCAGGGGGAUAAUCCAUGGAAACGUGGUCUAAUACCCCAUAGUAAUUAUGUAAGGCAUCUUAUAUAAUUUAAAGCUUUGGUGGAUACGGAUUGGCUCGCGUGACAUUAGCUGGAUGGUAAGGUAACGGCUUACCAUGGCUACGAUGUCUAGGGGUUCUGAGAGGAAGGUCCCCCACACUGGAACUGAGACACGGUCCAGACUCCUACGGGAGGCAGCAGUGAGGAAUAUUGGACAAUGGAUGGAAAUCUGAUCCAGCCAUGCCGCGUGCAGGAAGACGGCCCUAUGGGUUGUAAACUGCUUUUGUAUGGGAGCAAUAAGGGCUACGUGUAGUCCGAUGAGAGUACCAUACGAAUAAGCACCGGCUAACUCCGUGCCAGCAGCGGC